rnacentral:tRNA from 1 species
CUUCUCGUGGUGUAGUUGGCAACGCGCUUGCCUAGUAAGUAGAAGUCGUGAGUUCGUGUCUUACCGAGAGGA